CUGGCCUGUCUGGGAGGUGGCCUGGGAAGGGACCUGUGUUUCUCCAGCCCGCGCCCUCGGGGCCUGGGGGUGGGGCCCCAGCAGAUGUCUGGAUUUGGUAGCCAGGGCCUGGAGCCGGAUGCUGAGAAUGAGGCCUGCAACUCAUUUCCCCAUUUAACAUUCUGAGAACAUCUGCACCGGUUUCCAAGGCUUCUCCCUCACUAAUUGCUUUGAUUAUUGUGUGAAGUUAAGAACUGGCACAUUUCCGCGAUGUUGUGAUGAAGGUGAAAAGAUCGCUCUUAAUUAGAUUAAAAACAUUUUUUUCUUCCUGUGUAAUUUUGCCUUGAAAAUCAAGGCCACUUUUUUGUUUUCUUCAUCCAAAGACCUCCAGAAACUUUCCUCCCCACCUCUCCAGAGGUUUCUGGGGAAUGUCCUGUGAGCUCAACUCUUGGAGAAGAUAGUGCUUAACCCAGAUUCCAUUGUAU
ensembl:misc_RNA